GACGAACGCUGGCGGCGUGCUUAACACAUGCCAGUCGAACGGAAAGGCCCUGCUUUUGUGGGGUGCUCGAGUGGCGAACGGGUGAGUAACACGUGAGUAACCUGCCCUUGACUUUGGGAUAACUUCAGGAAACUGGGGCUAAUACCGGAUAGGAGCUCCUGCUGCAUGGUGGGGGUUGAAAAGUUUCGGCGGUUGGGGAUGGACUCGCGGCUUAUCAGCUUGUUGGUGGGGUAGUGGCUUACCAAGGCUUUGACGGGUAGCCGGCCUGAGAGGGUGACCGGCCACAUUGGGACUGAGAUACGGCCCAGACUCCUACGGGAGGCAGCAGUGGGGAAUAUUGCACAAUGGGCGGAAGUCUGAUGCAGCAACGCCGCGUGCGGGAUGACGGCCUUCGGGUUGUAAACCGCUUUCGCCUGUGACGAAGCGUGAGUGACGGUAAUGGGUAAAGAAGCACCGGCUAACUACGUG
rnacentral:rRNA from 1 species